UCCGAUGCUAAAGACUGGGGCUCAACCCCAGGGGUGCGUUGGAUACUGUGAGGCUAGACGGUCGGAGGGGGUAGCGGAAUUUCCGGAGUAGCGGUGAAAUGCGCAGAUACCGGAAGGAACGCCAAUAGCGAAGGCAGCUACCUGGACGACUUGUGACGCUGAGGCGCGAAAGCGUGGGGAGCAAACCGGAUUAGAUACCCGGGUAGUCCACGCCCUAAACCAUGAGUGCUGGGUGCCCGGCUUCUGCUGGGUGCCGUAGCUAACGCGCUAAGCACUCCGCCUGGGGAGUACGCACGCAAGUGUGAAACUCAAAGGAAUUGACGGGGGCCCGCACAAGCGGUGGAGCAUGUGGUUUAAUUCGAAGCGACGCGAAGAACCUUACCAGGCCUUGACAUGCCCGGAACCCCUCUGAAAGGAGGGGGUGCCCGCAAGGGAGCCGGGACACAGGUGCUGCAUGGCCGUCGUCAGCUCGUGUCGUGAGAUGUUGGGUUAAGUCCCGCAACGAGCGCAACCCCUAUCCCUAGUUGCCAGCAGUUCGGCUGGGCACUAUAUGGAGACUGCCUGCGAAAGCAGGAGGAAGGCGGGGAUGACCGUCUGGUCCGCAUGGCCCUUACGGCCUGGGCGACACACGUGCUACAAUGCCAAGGACA
rnacentral:rRNA from 1 species